GCCGUGCCCGGUGUGCUCCCUCUGCCUCGAGUGCUCCUGCAGCCCCGUCCCGCCGCCGCGGGGCCGGGCGGCGUGGAGAGCGUGCCAUAAAGUGCUGAGACCAAGCAGUCCUUAGGAGCAGGAGCAUUAUUGGUGUAUUGUGUGUGGUUACGUGUGCGCUGGGUAUGGAUAUAGCCUCUCUCCUUGAUUGGCACCAGCCAGCUGUGAAUUCAUAACGAGUGCAAGUGCUUUGCCUUCUCACUUCCAAGGAAGUGCUCUGCCCUGAGCUCCCACCUCAAGCGUUGAAUUACUGUGGGUCACUUUUGUGCUUCCUGCCGUGGCGGGGCGGAUUAUGAGGAGCAUUGCCAGCAGGCAACAAGGAGGCCUGAAGGCCUUUGGCUCAUAACCAACGCUGACGUUGCAGUGUGGAGCUACAGGAGCGCCUGCAGCUCAGGAGAAGGAGUGCCCUGCGCUGAGGUUUAUCACCAAGGUGACUUCUAACAUUCACACUACAAACUGAGGACAGACUGCACUGAUAAACUUCCUUUAUGUCCAGAUGUCUUUUUCUGGAGCACAGGAACACCUGGCUGCUGGAGUCCAGUCUGACAACUACAGCCAACCACGAACAGAUGCUUAGUUGAGGACAGAACUACACCAGGAGCCACUGUGUGCUCACGAGAACACGGAGGUAUUAUCCCAAAGAUACAUAACAAACACAAAACCUCAAGUUAAAACAGAAGAGAGACACAAGUCAUGAUGCCUGGAAAGGAAGAGGAUGGGAGUGGUGGUUUCUUUGUGCUCUGAGCCCCUGCAGUGGCAGAGGUGUACUGGGUGGGACAGCUUAGAAGGCAUCCAGAUGUCUUCCUUUCACAAAACCUCCUGUGGUUCCUGCUGAGGUCCUGUGGGUGUGACUGGUUAUUGUAAUUGGAGUAAUUCUGAGAAAGUUAGAAGGUGUGAAGCCAUUUCAGCUAGUGUGGUGCCUCACACCAAUUCUGUAGUUCUGCCUUGUUCAGAAGUUAAUAAAUAAAAUGGCACCUUAGUUUUACAAAACCA